AGAGUUUGAUCAUGGCUCAGGAUGAACGCUGGCGGCGUGCCUAAUACAUGCAAGUCGAGCGAACCACUUCGGUGGUGAGCGGCGAACGGGUGAGUAACACGUAGGUGAUCUGCCCAUCAGACGGGGACAACGAUUGGAAACGAUCGCUAAUACCGGAUAGGACGAAAGUUUAAAGGUGCUUCUGGCACCGCUGAUGGAUGAGCCUGCGGCGCAUUAGCUAGUUGGUAGGGUAAAGGCCUACCAAGGCGACGAUGCGUAGCCGACCUGAGAGGGUGAACGGCCACACGUGGGACUGAGACACCGGCCCAGACUCAUACGGGAGGCAGCA
rnacentral:rRNA from 1 species